rnacentral:snRNA from 1 species
UAUCCCGCUCUUUCGAGGGGAUUCCAAGAAUUGUGAUACACUCAUAGAGUGCACCUUUGCACGGAAAUCUUUAGUAAAAGGCGAAAGAUUUUUUCGGUCUAUUGCAAAGGAGCCAGAGAU